rnacentral:piRNA from 1 species
UGGAGAACUACCGUGUGUCCUUGGCUG